UAUUGGUCAAUAGCUUAACGGCUGAACCAGCAACUUGGAGGAAUGAAUAGGGAAAACUGGUAAAAUGUGAUGUACCUAGUAAUAUUAGUAAUUAAAUGUGAGAUUAACUAAGUUAAUUAAAAUUCUAAGCAGAUAUUUGAUUAUGACACUAUCUGUAUAGGUCUUGACCAAGUCACGUGCCAGCAGUCGCGGUAAUACGUGGAAGACAAGUGUUAUUCAUCUUUAUUGGGUUUAAAGGGUACCUAGACGGUUAAUUAAGCAAUUAGAUGUACUAAUUAACUAGAGUUUAAUGUAAGAAAGUUGAGUACUGUUAGAGGAGAGUUAAAAUUCUAGGAUACUGACAGGAACUGGUAAGAGCGAAGGCUACC
rnacentral:rRNA from 1 species